CGAUGGCCGACGCUUGCUUGUCUUGCGUCGUGCUCUGACGGAUGCUUUUAUUAGACCAAGCCGCUGAGGACCUGAGGUGUGUGUGUUUACGCGCGCACCCUCUUGUUCGACUCGUGUAAUGGUGACUCUGGAUAACCAAUUCUGACAAGCGCACGUACCCCUCUUCUGAGCGGGACGGCGCUGCCACUUUCGAGUGUCUGCCUUAUCAGCUAUCAACCGUUCGUUAUGCGCGACCGAUGGCUUUGACGGGUAACGGGGAAUCAGGGUUCGAUUCCGGAGAGGCAGCCUGAGAGACGGCUACCACGUCCAAGGACGGCAGCAGGCACGCAAAUUACCCAAUCCCAGCCAAUGGGGGAGGUAGUGACGAAAUCUAACGAUGCGGGCGCCCUUUCUGGGGCCCCGCAAUCGGAAUGGGCACUUUCUAAACAACCUGUUGAGAACCUACUGAAGGGCAAGUCUGGUGCCAGCAGCCGCGGUAAUUCCAGCUUCAGCAGCAUCUAUUAAAGUUGCUGCGGUUAAAAGGCUCGCAGUUGAAUGUCUGUAUCGAGCGCAGGUCAGGUGGACGUUGGGGCGUGGAAGCACGGGCAGUUGGAUGUGCUCGGUGGGUCUCGUACUCGCCGUCUCUCCUUCGGCUUUUCCAAGGAAUUGACGGAAAGGCACCACCAGGCGUGGAGCCUGCGGCUUAAUUUGACUCAACACGGGCCAUCUCACCAGGCCAGCACUCUUGUACGAUUGACAGAUUGAGAGCUCUUUCUCGAUUCAGUGGAUGGUGGUGCAUGGCCGUUCUUAGUUGGUGGAGUGAUCUGUCUGGUUAAUUCCGAUAACGAACGAGACUCUCCCCUGCUAACUAGUCGGUUGGAUCUUGAUCUACCGGGUUGCGUGCCGAGUAACUCUCGCUGGCACGUGCGCGUGCGUCGGCGCUUGGGGCAACCCUCGCGUCGGUGUGCCUGUUUCGUGUCCGGUGUUGGAUGCCUUGGAUCACACUGCACCCCAAGUCCGCCGCUCAUGCUAUAACUCUUCUUAGAGGGAUUCACGGCACUGAAGCCGUAAGAGACUGAGAGCAAUAACAGGUCUGUGAUGCCCUUAGAUGCUCUGGGCCGCACGCGCGCUACAAUGCCGGGCACAGCAGGUGUUUCUCCUGCUCCGACAGUAGCGGGUAACCCUCUGAAAGCCAGUGUUCUUGCAAGUGCAACCUCCCUUGUGGAAUUGCACAGAGGCGUGCUUGGGCCUGGGACUUGCAAUUCUUUCCCACCAACGAGGAAUGCCUAGUAGCGGCGGGUCACUGAGCCCGCCGUGACUCAGUCCCUGCCCUUUGUACACACCGCCCGUCGCUACUACCGAUUGGGUGU
rnacentral:rRNA from 1 species